CGGUGUGAACUGCUCCAGGAAACUACUGUGUGCCAAUUCUUUAUUGAUGCUCAUGAAGCAGCUGCCGGCCAAGCAGGGAUAUUUGUGUUGUGACAGACUGCUCCGGGAAGAAAAAGAGGACAAAGGUAUCUCUGCCAGCAGGAGCUCCUUCUAUUGACGCUGUUAUGAUAUUCUAUGGAGAAGUUGCCUUCGACGAGGGUUCUGAUCAGAUGCACGAGGGCUUGGUUGCAGCGGAUAUUUAAUUUUGUUUACUGGAAAAUUACCAUGAGGAAUUAUUCACAAGCUUAUCUUAUGGUCUGUAGGUGUUGAACAUACUCCAUCAUGAAUAAGGGGCUAGAAAAGAACAGGCAAGUCAAGUGGCUGAUUUUUGCAGCAGAGACGUUCACGAGGCUAAAAGGUUAGGCCAGGAACAACCUUAGUUGAGGCAUUACUACAUAAAUAUGAAGGACCAUCUUACCAGGUGUUGUAAAUAUAUGAAGAUUAGUUUUAGGGCUUUGGAUCAUAAUACGGACUACAUAGAUGAAUUCCAAGAAACGAGUCCAAGUUCUUUCAGCUUGCAGUUUUCCAAAUAAACUCCUCCACCUAGCAUCACAGUUUGAGAACAUCCUCGAAAAAACAGUUUGAUAAAUUGGAAUAUACUGAGGAAGGUUACGAAGAAGAGCUCAAGUUUAUUGAGAAGGUUGGAAAUUUUAUUCACUUGCUUGUUGCUUUAUUGUGAAGCAAUCAAGCGUUGUAGCUGACAAGAAAAAAUCCCAGAGGUGGCCGGGUGCAUUGUUCCAACUUCAUAGGAGUAGAUUAGCUGCGCUCUCAAUAUAAAAAGGAAUAGCAUUACUGGGACAGACGUGAUCAUGGGUGAAAGCAAGACUGUUGGACGGCAGCAGCAGCUGCUUGGCGGCGGCAGUGGGUGGAUGACCGUGGUCUCAGCUGAUGGAAUAUGGUGGCCACGAAUCAACCAGCAGCAGGUUCCAUUGCAUGGCAGGUCAAUUGAUGCCAUAGCAUUAUUUGCACAUUUGUGUGUUACACUGUCGGUUACUUUCAAUGUUGAUCUCCAUUGUAUUUGACUGCAUGCCGGUAUAUUGGCUCCGUUCCAUGGUGGGUUAUGUCAAAAUGGUAUUUUGUUCCUGUCAUGUCAAUUGGUGAAUGUAUAGGAAUAUACCAAUAUAGAUUGUUUAUUACUUUGUUAUUUUCAGCAACUGAUGUGCAUGUUCACAUGUUAGAACAUGGAUAGGCACUUCUAGAUUAUGCCAAAAGUAUUUAAUUUGAAGCAUAUGUUGCUUACAAUUUGAGAUGAUUCCGUGUGCAACUAUUA